rnacentral:rRNA from 1 species
GAAGGUGGCAAGCGUUGUUCGGAUUUACUGGGCGUACAGGGAGCGUAGGCGGUUCGGUAAGCCCUCUGUGAAAUCUCCAGGCUUAACCUGGAACAGUCGGAGGGGACUGCUGGGCUAGAGGACGGGAGAGGAGCGCGGAAUUCCCGGUGUAGCGGUGAAAUGCGUAGAGAUCGGGAGGAAGGCCGGUGGCGAAGGCGGCGCUCUGGAACGUUUCUGACGCUGAGGCUCGAAAGCGUGGGGAGCAAACAGGAUUAGAUACCCUGGUAGUCCACGCCUUAAAACUAUGAAUACUAAGUGUCGGCGGGUUACCGCCGGUGCCGCAGCUAACGCAUUAAGUAUUCCGCCUGGGAAGUACGGCCGCAAGGUUG